UACAGAGGGGGCAAGCGUUGUUCGGAAUUACUGGGCGUAAAGGGCGCGUAGGCGGCCUGUUAAGUCGAACGUGAAAUCCCCGGGCUCAACCCGGGAACUGCGUCCGAUACUGGCAGGCUUGAAUCCGGGAGGGGGAUGCGGAAUUCCAGGUGUAGCGGUGAAAUGCGUAGAUAUCUGGAGGAACACCGGUGGCGAAGGCGGCAUCCUGGACCGACACUGACACUGAGGAGCGAAAGCCAGGGGAGCAAACGGG
rnacentral:rRNA from 1 species